CGCCUUCUGCAGAAAAUAGAAGGUCUAGCCUGCCCAGUGACCAAGUUAAACGGCCGCGGUACCCUAACCGUGCGAAGGUAGCGCAAUCACUUGUUCUUUAAAUGAGGACUAGUAUGAACGGCAUCACGAGGGUUACACUGUCUCCCACCUCUAAUCAGUGAAACUGAUCCCCCCGUGAAGAAGCGGGGAUAAACUUAUAAGACGAGAAGACCCCAUGGAGCUUUAAACUCAGUAUCAAUCACCCAUGACUACAUCACAAUAACUAGGUGACUCUGACUACUAGUUUUAGGUUGGGGUGACCACGGAGCAUAAUAAAACCUCCAUGUUGAAAACUUCCUCUAAUCUAAGAGUGACAGCUCUAAGAAUCAAAAAUUGACAUACAUUGACCCAAAUAUUUUGAUCAACGAACCAAGUUACCCUGGGGAUAACAGCGCAAUCCAUUUCAAGAGCUCCUAUCGACAAAUGGGUUUACGACCUCGAUGUUGGAUCAGGGUAUCCCAGUGGUGCAGCCGCUACUAAAGGUUCGUUUG
rnacentral:rRNA from 1 species